rnacentral:rRNA from 1 species
UACGGAGGGUGCAAGCGUUAAUCGGAAUAACUGGGCGUAAAGCGCACGCAGGCGGGCUUUUAAGUGAGAUGUGAAAGCCCCGAGCUUAACCUGGGAAUAGCAUUUGAAACUGGUAGUCUAGAGUACUUUAGAGGGGGGUAGAAUUCCAUGUGUAGCGGUGAAAUGCGUAGAGAUGUGGAGGAAUACCAGUGGCGAAGGCAGCCCCCUGGGCAUGUACUGACGCUCAUGUGCGAAAGCGUGGGGAGCAAACAGG